CUAUAAAGUUGGGCAGUUCAAACUUUGCAAGGACAGUCUGGCACUUCUGACUCACAGCCUGUCUCCUCCUCCUUGUCUUGCGUCUGAUGGUCAGUAAACCCAGGCUCAUUUAAGACCAUCAUAAAAAACUCUCUACCAGCAAUUGUAAUGUUUAAAUCCAUUCUGAUGAAAUUGAAAACUUGUUUCCCCCUGCAGCUUUACUGUCUGUUUUGCACAUUACAAUAUUGCUGUAUAAAACAGUUGAAAAGAAGAUAUCUUUCAUCACAUGAGACCAAAAGGUCAUUAACCCAUUUAAUCCCAAUUUUUUUUUCAGACAUAAAAAUAUCAGGUGAUGUGUCAUUAGUAAGCCUUUGAAAUAAUUGUUUUUGGAAUUUUUUUUGGGAAAGUGUGCGAAAAAUCGUGUUUUAUGGUUGGUCACAAUUGUGACCGGUGGGAUAAUGUAUAUACUGAAUAAACAUAUAGUCAUGAAAAUUGUUGUAUAUCUCAGCCCAGCUAUUUGAAACUCUGUUUCAUCACAUUCUAGGGUUACUAUUCUGCAUAAAACCCUUAUAAAUCAUUCAUAGGAGUACUGAGAUAAAAUACAACCAUCAACAUAUUUCAGAAUGGUUAUACAUUAUUGUAACAUUUAUCAUAAAACUAUUAUAUUAGUACUACCAGUAUUACAACAUCAGUAGUGUAACUUAUUUGUAACAUUUGAAUUUUUUAAUUUAGUAUGAUAUUUUGUAAUUGCAACACUUUAGUGCAUUUUUCACUAACAACUGCAAAUGGAUUUACUGUAUAUGUAUACCUAAAUUCACUGUUAUCCCACUGGUCACAACAUGUUUACUGAUGCUAUGACAACACUCAACAAACUGUAGUAAUUGUGAAUUUAUAUAUUAAUACUAGACAUGUGGACUAAAAAUCUUUCUGUUACUUUACUAGCUUCUCGUGGUGCACACAGGAAAUAAACUGCUCUGGUCAUGUGACAAUUUGCACUAACCAUGUGAAACUGCACAUAUUGUGACUGGUGGGAUUAAAUGGGUUAAUGAUUAGACUAAAUACCACUAUAAUAGCCAAUAAACCAAUCUAAGAGGAGCAACAGCUGAAUGUUGUUCAACUGAAAACUGGUUUAUCUCAUUUUUGCAAUAACAAACAGUUAUUCUCUGUCUGAGAGUAUACUCUCUUCUGUUUUGGAAAAUAUUCAAAUAAGGGACAUGUGUACAUACACUGGAUACACGCUCGACUAGACCAAAAGGUCUGACUAGACCAAUUUGUCUACUUGAAUCUUUUUAUGUUUGCUUGUUUUUCUCAGUUUGUAAAGUGUGCGAGAUUGUGAGAUAUUAAAAAUGAAAUGAAUAGAAUGAGAAUGACGUUUGCAUGGUCACAACUACAGGUGUAAAUCGAUUUGUUUUCCAAGUGUACUUAUUGAGAUAAAUAAAGAAGUAUUAUAUAUCUGAAAAUAAUGUGCACCUGUAUAUUUUGCUCCAAACAUGAUAAUUUUAUCAAAAUGUCAAAGCGGUACAAUACAGUUUAAAUGCAUGGUAAAUAAAUAUAUGUGUGUGAUGACAGUG